AGCGAACGCUGGCGGCAGGCCUAACACAUGCAAGUCGAACGAACUCUUCGGAGUUAUUGGCGGACGGGUGAGUAACACGUGGGAACGUGCCUUUAGGUUCGGAAAAACUCAGGGAAACUUGUGCUAACACCAAAUGUGCCCCCUGAUUCUUUGGGGGGUGGUAAAAAUUUUUCGCCUUAAAAGCGCCACUUUCCUGAAUCG
rnacentral:rRNA from 1 species